CUCAAACGUGUCAAUCCUCUCUCCUUUUCCUCUUCACGUGGGAGGUUAUCUCCUCAUGAAUCCUCAACAUCUCGCCUCAAAAUCUCUCAGGAUGAAUCGAUGCCGAUGCUCUAAUGGAGAUUCACGACAUCAGAAUCCUCAGCUUCAUCAACAACUCCUUCUCGAGUCCAUUCCUGAAGUUGGGCUCAAUCAAUUUCCUCCUUUUUAACGUGGACACGCAGGAGUGUGACGCAUGAAUGCAAAUUUCUAAAGGGUAUUGUGUGGAACAGAUGACAUGCGUUCUGGAAAGAGCAGUUUCUUGUUGCAGGAUACUUUUUAAUUUUCAGAGGAUUUCUGUAGGGAUUUUAAUCAUUUCUGCUAUAAACCUUUUAUAUCCUGCUCCACAACGAUUUUGCAUGUUGGGAAAGUAGAAGCUGUGUGUUUGGAAUUAGAUGUGUUAAAACAAUAUAUAAGCAGUGCUCCUCAAUGACGGCAACUUCGUAGUACAAACUUCAAGAUAAUUCUUAGUCGCUCUUUCUAGCAAACUCUAUUAAGUGCUUCUAUUUACCUCUUACUCCUGAAUAACUAUUGUGUUUUGUUGUAGAUGUUCAUGUUGGCCUUGGAAGAAUUCUUACAUGAGCUUCUGUACUCGAAAAAGCCUCAAAAUCAGUUUGGGAUUUAAUUGUAGACAAUAACAGUCUGGGAAAGGAGAGAUAAGUGAAACUGUUGAGUGAGUGUUUUGUCGACUGAGUGGCUAGGAGCCUUCAUUCUUUCCACUUCCUAAUGGUGAGCCGCAAUCUGAAAAGGAGGUUGGCAACAGAAAAGAAAAAGGCAAGGGAAAGCAAAAGGAAAAUGAAAGCACAAAUACAAAUAUUCCAUCAAAGAAAAGGAGCUUUAGUGAAAUCAAUUUGGAAGGACCAGAUGAAACUUCGACCAGGUUCUCUAAUCCUGCGGCAGUAUUGGAAGGUUCUGGCAAAUCACCUGUAUCAAUUUCGAAGACUUGAGUUGCAAAUUCGAUGAUGCUUUUGUAACUACAGUGAUCAAAUCUGAAACAUUUUGAUGAUAACCAACCUCUAGGUUAUAAUUUCGAAGGCUCUGCUUCAACUAAGUUCAACAAUGCUUUUAAUAACUCAGAUAUGGAACAGUUGGAUUUUCAUCCAUUCAGUUUAAAUCAAGAUAUGAAUCACAACCAAGUUGGUCACAACUCUGAUUUGAUUGGUCAAGUGGAUUUAUAUCAGGACCUCGGGCAUAACACAGAAAUUAAACACUCAGAAUUAAAUCAAUUUAGCAUAGAAGGUUUUGAUUGUAGCCAAUUCUUUGGAACUGAAGAUACUGUGCAUCAUGGACAAAACAUUAUACCUAACAUUCUUCCAAAUAUCUGCCCUCCACCAUCUGCUUUCUUAGCUCCAAAAUGUGCCCUGUGGGACUGUUUCAGACCCGCUCAAGGGGUAGAAUGGUGCAGGAACUACUAUAGCAGUUGUCAUGAGUUGUUGGCAAAUAAUGAAGGUCUUAGCAUGACUCCAAUUUUACGACCAGGGGGCAUUGGUGUUAUCCAAUCAUAGACUUUGAUGUAUUGUAAGUUUGUUGAUUGUAUAAUAACUACCAUAAAAAUUAAAGGGUAUUGAAACCUCUGUCA